CAAUUCAACAUAAUCUGAUUGUGUUAGAUUUUUGUAUUAUUGUAUAUUUUUAAUUAAUUAUUUAAAUUAUUUUAGUGUCUUUGUAUUAGGUAAGGAUUAGAUUUUUUAGGAGUUAUAAUAUUUGUACUGUAAAGGUUGACUGAAAUAAAUAUUUUUAUUGAUAAAGUUGAAUUAAGUUUUUGUACCUUGUGUAUCAGGGUUAAUUAAUAAAUGACAUAUUUAUGGUUUAUAUAUCUCGAUUUUGUUAGAGCUAAUUAAUUAUUUUAGUUAAUGUUUUAUAUUUAUUAAUAAUAGUUAUUUGGGGGUGAAAUGUUAUUCGUUAAUAAGGAUAUCUAGUUUCUUUGGAAAUAAAUUAAAUUUAGACUUUUCUUUAAUGGUUUAAUUAUUUAAAUUGUUUAAGAUGGGAUUAGUAAUUAGAGGGAUAAGCUUUUAAUUAGAUUAUUAUAAGUUAAGUAAUAUGAUGAAAUUUAGUGGAUUUAAUAUUGAUUAUUUAUGUGAAUAUAUUAAAAUUUUAUUUUGUUAUUAAUUUUAUUUGUAUUUUUCUUUAAUUAUUUACAAAGAUUUUAUAUUUAAUAAUAUUUUGUUUGGAAUAAUGGUUAAAUUAGUAUAAAGUGGUUGUAGAGAAUAAAAUUUGUUGGUUGGUAAUUGUAAGGAACUAGGCAAAAAGUGAAUAAAAUUGAGUUGUUCGCCUGUUUAACAAAAACAUCUUUUCUUGAAUUUAUAUGAAGUAUAACCUGCCCAAUGAAUGGUGUUGAAUGGCCGCGGUAUUUUGACCGUGCAAAGGUAGCAUAAUCAUUAGUCUUUUAAUUGGAGGCUGGAAUGAAUGGUUUGACGAAAUAACAACUGUCUUAUGAUUAUUGUAAUUGAAUUUAAUUAUUAAGUUAAAAAGCUUAAAUUUGUUUUUGGGACGAGAAGACCCUAUAGAGUUUAAAUAAUUAAUUAUAUUGGGUAAUGUUUGUUUAGGUGGUUAUAUGGUUAAUUAUUUGAUUGGGGUGAUUGAAAGAUAAAAUGUAACUCUUUUGUUUUAACUUUACAUUAAUUUGUGUAUUUUUGAUCCAUUUAUGUUGAUUAUAAGAUUAAAUUACCUUAGGGAUAACAGCGUAAUCUUUUUUGAGAGUUCUUAUCAACAAUAGGGAUUGCGACCUCGAUGUUGGAUUAGGAAAAAGCUUAGGUGUAGAAGCUUAAGUAUUAGGUCUGUUCGACCUUUAAAUUCUUACAUGAUCUGAGUUCAAACCGGUGUGAGCCAGGUUGGUUUCUAUCUAAUAUAGAUUUUAAUAUUUUAGUACGAAAGGACCGAAUAUUAGUAAUAAUUUCUUAUUAUUUGAAUUAUACUACUAUUUUGGCAGAAUAAGUGUAAUAGAUUUAGAAUCUA
rnacentral:rRNA from 1 species